rnacentral:lncRNA from 1 species
AUGCCUUCUUCCAACCCCGCAGCACCUUUUGGGUGUCAAAAGCUGUGUAUUGGCCAAACCCCAGCACCCCUCCACGGCUCAGCAUCACCCCCCCGGGCACACCCUGCACCCCCGGGGCCGGUCCCAAGGCUUGGGGGGGGAAUACAAAAAGCCCCCCAAUACCUCCCCAGUCCAACCAGUCCAACCCUUUACCUGCUGCCACUGGGAAAUCCUCCGUGUCGCCAAGGUGGGGUGGGAUGGGGGGGAACACGGCCCCUGCCAGCGAUGCCCCCCCGCUGUCCCCUUGCAGCGCGGGGGCUGGGGACAGCGCAGGGUUGGCAGGAGAGGGGUGGCACCGUCUUGUCCCUGUCCCUGUCCCCGUCCCUGUCCCUGUCCCCGUCCCCGCAGCCCGGCGCGGCUCGGCUCGGCUCCGCCGCCCGCUCCCGGGAGCGGGGCGGGGGCUGGGGGCGGGCGAGCUCCGCCCCGGACAGCGGCAGGAGGAGGAAGAAGAGGAGGAGGAGGAGGAGGAGGAGGAAGGCUGCGCCCGAAAGCUGCCAGCCCCUUCUUAGGAGGGGUGCCCCUAUGGGGAUGCGGCCGGCUGCAAGCAUCGGGGUACCCACAGGGAACCCCCCAAGGAACACUUGCUGAGUGAAAUACCUCCGAAAAGAACCGCAGUUUGCACAUUUUCAGGAUUUUUUCUCCAACGUUGCCAGUUGAACCCGACGCGGACGCCGGGGAGCACGCUGGGCUGGGCAAGGCUCCCUUUUCUGAGCAGCUGUGAAGGGAGGAAUGAAGAGCAACAAGCCCGGCCUCCCCCCAGCAAGCAUGUCCAAUGUCCAAACCUUCGUGGACUGACCAAGGGAAGGAAAUUUUUUAUUGAUUUUCGACCUCUUCUAGGAAAAGAAAUGCAGUUUUGGAGUGGGAAAAUGUUUUCUGGUUUGAAUGUUCCCGAUCCCGUUUAGAGCCUGGAGUGCUGGGAGUAUUUUAAAUAUCUCUUUUCGGCAUGGCUGGGACUCUGCUGUGCUCAUUCCUCACCGUGUAACCCCAGCGAUGCUCAUUUCAGCAUGUUUUACCUAUAAAACCUCAUUAAAGCCCUCUUGCUCCCCCAGUGCUGCAUUAAGACCUGGCGAGGCCCCGAUGCUCGGAGCCAGGGGCAAGUUUCAGUGGGCACAUUUCUCACCUCAUCCAUAAGAGUUUUGUUAUGUGCUUAUGGAAAAGGAUCAUUUUUUGUGCCUGAUCCCUUCCUAGUAAGUCGGAGUAUUUUUGGAUGUUGGGUUUUUUUUUGUGUUUGAUGCAGUGUUCAGAGGUGGGAAAGUGACCACAGGAAGGUUUGGGGAACGAGACCAGCACCAGAAAACAUAGAAAUAGGAGAGCAUCACCUUAAAAUGAAGUGGCUGCCGCUUACCAUUUGGGGGACAAGACCCCCAAAACAGCCACAUGUAUGUGCCAUGUGCAGUCUGUACCCUGCUGCUGUUGGAUUCCUCCAGUCAGAUUUGGGGACAGAGCAAGGAACACCUCAGAAAUUCAUGAUGGCACCGAUGUCCUGUUGGGAUGGAGACCUAAUUGUCCCUGUCGGGAUGAUGGUGACCCCAAUGUCCCAUUGGGAUGGAGGCCCCAAAUGUCCUGUUGGGAUAGAGACCCCUAUGUCCUGUUGGAUUGGAGACCCCAAAUAUCCCAUUGGGAUGGAGACCCCAAUGUCCCAUUGGAUUGGAGACCCCAAACGUCCCGUUGGGAUGGAGACCAUUGAGCAAGGGCUGGAUGUUAGCGCUGCCAUCUCCAUUUUGCAGAAUUAAAAAACGAGGCAUGAAAGAAGCAAGGCCAAGCUCAUCC